GACGAACGCUGGCGGCGUGCUUAACACAUGCAAGUCGAACGGUGAAGCGCCUUCCUUUUUGGUGGGUGUGGAUGAGUGGCGAACGGGUGAGUAACACGUGAGUAACCUGCUCCCUUCUUCUGGAUAACCGCAUGAAAGUGUGGCUAAUACGGGAUAUUCUGGGUCUGUCGCAUGAUGGGUCUGGGAAAGAUAUUGUUUCGGUGGGGGAUGGGCUCGCGGCCUAUCAGCUUGUUGGUGGGGUGAUGGCCUACCAAGGCGGUGACGGGUAGCCGGCCUGAGAGGGUGGACGGUCACACUGGGACUGAGACACGGCCCAGACUCCUACGGGAGGCAGCAGUGGGGAAUAUUGCACGAUGGGCGCAAGCCUGAUGCAGCGACGCCGCGUGAGGGAUGGAGGCCUGCGGGUUGUGAACCUCUUUCGCCAGUGAAGCAGGCCUGCCUCGUUUGUGGGUGGGUUGACGGUAGCUGAAGAAGAAGCGCCGGCUAACUACGUG
rnacentral:rRNA from 1 species